rnacentral:tRNA from 1 species
GGUACGCCGUGCCGGAGGAACACUGGGCCGGGCUGCGGGCCCGGCUGCCCGCGUUCGACCCGUCACGUACUCCCA